GGUUCCGUGGCCGAGCGGCUAGGCACCGGUCUGCAAAACCGACUACACCAGUUCGAAUCUGGUCGGAACCU
rnacentral:tRNA from 1 species